GGGGGAACACUGCAGAGAAGAUAAAGAGAUGUCUGCAAGACCUUGGCUUAUAUUCCCCCUGCCAUUGCAACCAUCAAAAAGAAAAAAUGGUUCUUUAUUUCUAGUUAUUUUUUUAAAAGAGGGCCAUACAUCUGCCCCAGCAACCUUCUCCCAAGCAGCCCAAGAACUUUAACCAGGAGAGGAAAAACAGGAACACAACGUGCAAUCUCCUCUCAGAAGAAGAGGAGCCAGCAGCUUGAUUGAGAACAAGUCAGAAUAAUUGCAGCCCAAGACAUAAAGAAAUGCCUUCAGUGGCUCCUCUCAUGCCUCUCCUAAGCUGUCAAAGCCACAGGCAGGCAUUGGACACGAGCUGGCCUGGGAGGCAGAA